rnacentral:rRNA from 1 species
UCCUACGGGAGGCAGCAGUGGGGAAUAUUGCACAAUGGGCGCAAGCCUGAUGCAGCAACGCCGCGUGAGGGACGAAGGCCUUCGGGUUGUAAACCUCUUUUAGUAGGGAAGAAGCGACUGGGUUUUCCUGGGAGUGACGGUACCUGCAGAAAAAGCACCGGCUAACUACGUGCCAGCAGCCGCGGUAAUACGUAGGGUGCAAGCGUUGUCCGGAAUUAUUGGGCGUAAAGAGCUCGUAGGCGGUUUGUCGCGUCUGCUGUGAAAACCCGAGGCUCAACCUCGGGCCUGCAGUGGGUACGGGCAGACUAGAGUGCGGUAGGGGAGAUUGGAAUUCCUGGUGUAGCGGUGGAAUGCGCAGAUAUCAGGAGGAACACCAAUGGCGAAGGCAGAUCUCUGGGCCGUAACUGACGCUGAGGAGCGAAAGCAUGGGGAGCGAACAGGAUUAGAUACCCUGGUAGUCCAUGCCGUAAACGUUGGGAACUAGAUGUGGGGACCAUUCCACGGUCUCCGUGUCGCAGCUAACGCAUUAAGUUCCCCGCCUGGGGAGUACGGCCGCAAGGCUAAACUCAAAGGAAUUGACGGGGGCCCGCACAAGCGGCGGAGCAUGCGGAUUAAUUCGAUGCAACGCGAAGAACCUUACCAAGGCUUGACAUAUACCGGAAACGGCUGGAAACAGUCGCCCCGCAAGGUCGGUAUACAGGUGGUGCAUGGUUGUCGUCAGCUCGUGUCGUGAGAUGUUGGGUUAAGUCCCGCAACGAGCGCAACCCUCGUCCUAUGUUGCCAGCACGUAAUGGUGGGAACUCAUGGGAUACUGCCGGGGUCAACUCGGAGGAAGGUGGGGAUGACGUCAAAUCAUCAUGCCCCUUAUGUCUUGGGCUUCACGCAUGCUACAAUGGCCGGUACAAAGGGCUGCGAUACCGCAAGGUGGAGCGAAUCCCAAAAAGCCGGUCUCAGUUCGGAUUGAGGUCUGCAACUCGACCUCAUGAAGUCGGAGUCGCUAGUAAUCGCAGAUCAGCAACGCUGCGGUGAAUACGUUCCCGGGCCUUGUACACACC